CAGCAGUCGCCACGGUAAUACGAAGGGUGCAAGCGUUAAUCGGAAUUACUGGGCGUAAAGCGUGCGUAGGCGGUGUGUUAAGUCUGCUGUGAAAUCCCCGGGCUCAACCUGGGAAUGGCAGUGGAUACUGGCUCGCUAGAGUGUGUCAGAGGAUGGUGGAAUUCCCGGUGUAGCGGUGAAAUGCGUAGAGAUCGGGAGGAACAUCAGUGGCGAAGGCGGCCAUCUGGAUCAACACUGACGCUGAGGCACGAAAGCGUGGGGAGCAAACAGGAUUAGAUACCCCCGUAGUCCCUGUCUCUUAUAC
rnacentral:rRNA from 1 species